rnacentral:rRNA from 1 species
UACGGAGGGUGCGAGCGUUGUCCGGAAUCACUGGGCGUAAAGGGCGCGUAGGCGGCGCAGGAAGUCAACGGUGAAAGUUCAGGGCUCAACCCUGAAUCGGCCGUCGAUACUCCUGGGCUCGAGCACUGUAGAGGCAGAUGGAAUUCCGGGUGUAGCGGUGGAAUGCGUAGAGAUCCGGAAGAACACCGGUGGCGAAGGCGGCUCACUGGGCUGGACCUUGAC